CGUGUAGGCGGUCUGUUAAGUCUGGUGUGAAAGCCCUGGGCUCAACCCAGGAAGUGCAUUGGAUACUGGCAGACUUGAGUAUGGGAGAGGAAAGCGGAAUUCCGAGUGUAGGAGUGAAAUCCGUAGAUAUUCGGAGGAACACCAGUGGCGAAGGCGGCUUUCUGGACCAAUACUGACGCUGAGACGCGAAAGCGUGGGGAGCAAACAGGAUUAGAUACCCUGGUAGUCC
rnacentral:rRNA from 1 species